AGACAGGCUACCACCUUCAGCUCUUACCACUGUCCCAUGUCACAAACAGAAACAGAGCCUUCCAAAGGAUGAGAAUCUGGGCCUGAAACUCCUUCCUGGAAGUCCUUGGGCACUGCUGACUGAAGUUCCUCCAAACUGUUGUAAGAGAACAAGCUUUAUCCAGGCACAGGAAAACUGAACAAAGGAGGUUUCAACCUUUCUUUCUGAGCCCUGACUUCCUAAAUAGCAUCCUGUCAGGAUGAAGUUCCUGUUUCCACUGCUUCAGUCUCUUCUGCAAACCGAGGUGUCUGCCUCUGGUCCCACAACACCCCUCCUACGGCAAUGUAAAAGGAAGUGCUGAUUUGAUGAGCUUCAUCUACACCUAGGUCUAUGGAAACCUGUGCUUGACUGAAACAGAUAUACCCAGAACAUGUGAGCUGAUUGUGAGAGUA